rnacentral:rRNA from 1 species
AGAGUUUGAUCCUGGCUCAGAACGAACGCUGGCGGCGUGCCUAACACAUGCAAGUCGAACGAGAAAGGGGCUUCGGCUCCGAGUAAAGUGGCGCACGGGUGAGUAACACGUGGGUAACCUGCCUCUAAGAUUGGGAUAACUCGUCGAAAGAUGAGCUAAUACCGAAUAAGACCACAGUUCCCGCGGGAACGGGGGUCAAAGGUAGCCUCUGCUUGCAAGCUAUCACUUAGAGAUGGGCCUGCGCACCAUUAGCUAGUUGGUAGGGUAACGGCCUACCAAGGCAAAGAUGGUUAGCUGGUCUGAGAGGAUGAUCAGCCACACUGGAACUGAGACACGGUCCAGACUCCUACGGGAGGCAGCAGUGGGGAAUAUUGCGCAAUGGGCGAAAGCCUGACGCAGCAACGCCGCGUGAGUGAUGAAGGCCUUCGGGUCGUAAAGCUCUGUCGGGAGGAACGAAUGCUCCUGAGGUUAACAGCCUCGGGAGGUGACGGUACCUUCAAAGGAAGCACCGGCUAACUCUGUGCCAGCAGCCGCGGUA